GGCGGCGCGUACAUGAUGCUGGUGUCGGGUGUCAAGCUCGGUGCCGCAGCUAACGCAUUAAGCACUCCGCCUGGGGAGUACGUACGCAAGUAUGAAACUCAAAGGAAUUGACGGGGACCCGCACAAGCAGCGGAGCAUGUGGUUUAAUUCGAAGCAACGCGAAGAACCUUACCAGGGCUUGACAUGCCCCUGACCGCAUUAGAGAUAGUGCUUUACCUUCGGGUACAGGGGACACAGGUGGUGCAUGGUUGUCGUCAGCUCGUGUCGUGAGAUGUUGGGUUAAGUCCCGCAACGAGCGCAACCCUUGCCUUUAGUUGCAAACAGUUAGGCUGUGCACUCUAGAGGGACUGCCGAUGACAAAUCGGAGGAAGGUGGGGAUGACGUCAAAUCAUCAUGCCCUUUAUGUCCUGGGCUACACACGUGCUACAAUGGUCGGUACAACGAGCAGCUACACAGCAAUGUGAUGCAAAUCUCUUAAAGCCGAUCCCAGUUCGGAUCGUAGGCUGCAACUCGCCUACAUGAAGUCGGAGUUGCUAGUAAUCGCGAAUCAGAAUGUCGCGGUGGAUGCGUUCCCCGGGUCUUGAACCACCGCCCGUCCCACAUGGAAAGUUGAAAUGCCCAAAGCCCGGGAACUAACCCUAAAGGAGGCACCUUUCCAGGGUAGGGCCAAUGAACAGGGGGGAAAUC
rnacentral:rRNA from 1 species